rnacentral:lncRNA from 1 species
GGCCCCGGAGCUGCUCCCUGGACCUGCGGGAGGUGCUCUGCGACCGCCCACGCCCCGGCCCGCGGCGCGUCCCGGACGUCCACGCUUGCGUUUCUGCGGAUCGUGGGAAUCCUUCUGCGUGGGAGUUUUAGAAAUGCUAACCGAGCUCAGGUUUUGAACAUGUCUGGGACUGUGAAUUGGCUGCCAGAAUGAAGCAAAAGCAGCCAGGCUGAGAGAACCAUGGAGCUCUGAAGCCAGUCCCAAGAAGAAGCAGAAGACAUAAUACAAGCAGAAGACAGGGAGAGAAUAUUCUACGCGUAUAUACACAGGCUCAAGUAUUCAUUAAAAACAUAAAAGCAUUCUUUUGAUAUCUCCCAGUAGAAAGCCAUGAACACAGGGAAAACAUUCAUAAAAUAACUUUAGGUUGUAAAAUGUAGCAAGUCUGUGGUGGAAAAGCAGCUUCAAAACACAACUGGUGUGUGGGGUUUCCAUUUCUCAGAAAGCCAGCAGUCGUGUUAUGAAAGAACAGUUUAGGCUAAUCCCUACGGGUAUGCUGCUGCCAAGUUGGUUCUUUUACUGUGCUCAUCAGAAGUGCCAGAAAAAUACCCGCACCCGCCCCCCAUUUAGCCUCUGGAAGAAGAUGUUCUAAAGGGCUCACAAACAUCCAGAUGUAGCUCUUACCAAGCUCCAGCGUCAGAAGGAGUGCCUCAGCGUCUAAGUCCGUAUAUACACACACGGCUUUUCAUGCAUCCUCUGCUGGGGAGGUCACAAUCUGAGGCACCCUUUAAAGCCACUUCUGGGAGAAAAGAAAGAGAAAAAAAAAAAUCAACCACUGAACGUCUAGUGAGCUGUUUCCUAAGGAGGCAUCAACAAACUCCUACCAGCCCCAGUCCUCAGUAACGUCAUGAGAUGGGCUGCUUGUGGUUGUCAAAACUGAUCUUCCCACUGCGGGUGAACACGUACGGCGGAUUGUUAUGGCUUAGGGCGCUUGACUGCACCGCUGUGAAAAUAUUCAGCAGAAUUCCACAAGCUCUUUGUUUGCCUUGCCUUAGUGGAAAUUCCUCCAGCUAUCCAAACACGCACCUGGGGGAGGUGUUUUUUUUUUCCCCCUCCACAUUUCAGGAAGGGGUUUCUUCUAAGUAAAAAUGUGUCCUUACCUCUCUUCUAAGUUCUCAGGCAAGACUUCUGGUUUGAGUUGAAGAUGACUAUGAAUGUGUUCUGGUUGGAAAGGGAGGUGGAGUUGGAGGAGCCGGAGAGGUCUGUAGCAAAUGUUCCUCCAACAGAGCUAAGCUGGGAAAAGGAAAGCCAAUGGAAGCCAACAAAGAAGGAAGCACGAAGCAAGGCUCCCCCAGAUUCCUAGAAGCCCAGGAACACAAAAGCCAGGAAGAUGAAUCGUCUUUUACAGUAGUAGACCUGUAUAUAGGAACGGGGAAGAUUCUAGGGUGAAAGAUCCGGGCUGCCGCUGGUCACCCAGAAGGGAGUAUGUACCUUGAGUUUCGUAACACGGAAUGGAAGUUUGGAGGCCCCUUGAAAAGAACCAAAGCACAAAGGAAGUUGGGCCUGAAGAAGGCUGGGAGACCUCUCACGCAGAGACCCAGGGCUCAGGACAGAGAAAGGAAGGUAGAACGCCAAGUGGAUCUCAUAUUUGCUCUGCGGGCUUCUGGGAAGUGUUUGAAAACAUUCUAUUUAAACUGUGCCUCUUAAGAGAGCUCUCCACUUACAUCUAACUCAGUGUGCUCAUAUUAGCAAAUAGAAAUUAUGGGAACAUUCCAAGUGCUCCCCGCCUUCCUGGUCCUCCCUCCCUGACCCCGAUAGUCUGUCCUGCCUGGAGUCUGGGCGAAUGUUUGUUUCUGAGGGAUGGAAACUGAUUAAAAACUAGAAGGCUGCUUGGGAAAAAUUUUAUAAUAGCAUGUGUGAGGUGAGUUCCACAGAAGGCUAGGGAGGGCAGGAAGGCCCCGUGCAGCCAGGGCUCCAUGCAGGCCAUCUGAAAAAAGAGGCUCCUCUUCCAACCCAGAGCUGUUGUCUUAAUUGUGGUGGAACUGCUUUUCAUAUUCCCUUAGCUUUUUAACACUAAACCAAGAUGAGAAAUUGAGAAAUGAA